CCUCUCUCCCCCUCACUCUGCUCCAGCCACAUGAACCUCCUCGCCUUUUCUCCAUCAUGACAGGCAGGUCCUGCCCCAGGGCCUUUGCACCGGUUGGGCUCCCCCCUCACCUGAAACACUGUUCCCAAGACCCUUGCUGGGUUUGCUCCCUUGCUUCAUCUGAGACCUGGCUCAAAUGUCACCCCCUCUGAAGUGUCCCCCAACCACCUUGCCCAAAACAGUCCCUCUGAGGUCACUCUCCUCAUCUCCGUGGCUUUCUUGGUCUUCCAGGCACCCAGCAGCUCCUGGGGCUCACGUGUUAUGUCUCCCCCACUACAGAGAGACCAGGUCUGCUCAGUCACCCCCUGACGGACACCGUCAGAGCUGAGUGUGGAGUCAGCGCUGGAGAGGGCAGCAGGGGGACACGAGGCCUCCAGGGUGGGGCCGCUUCCCAGAUCAGGGCUGCAUGUGCCCAGGCCGGGUGCCGGCUCCCCGUGACUCAGGGCGAACGAGAAGGCGCCAGGACAAGGCAGCGGGGCCAGGAGCCCCGAGAAGCCAGGAAGUGGCCUCACACACUUCCCUGAUUGGCCGGAGCGACCCGGUGGCCCUGGGCCUCCCGCUGCGCGGCCGCCUCAGCAGCGGGGCCCUGCGGGCAGCCUGCGGGGACGCUGGGAACCUCUGCAGGGGGGGUGGCAAUCCCAACCCUCAGCCCCCGGGCCGGCCGAGCCACACUUGAAAGUCCUCUCUCCAAACCGGAAGGGCCGCAGCUGAGCGGAGACGGCCGGCUCUCUGCAGCCACGUGAUGCUCCGAGUGGUGCGGUGCAACGGAGAAACCCUAUGGCGUGGGGAAGGGUGGAAGCUUCUGGUUCUGCCCUCUGGGAACCCCGAGCCCCGAGGUCCCGGCGGGGGUCCCCGCCACACUGGCGACCGCACCGGGGAGGUAGGCGGCCCCCAGCCGAGGUGCGGGACCAGGGUGCAGGCGCCCGCCGACCCCGGGCGAGACCCCAGAGCCGCGAGCACACACGCACUUGUUCGCUCAGGCUCGAAGCUCCGGGCGGCCUGUUACGCAGCGACAGCUGACUGAAGCAGGGACCACGGUACGAGCCGAGAGCCACCACGGCGGUGGGGACGCCGGCCGGUGCAGCAAGACAAGAAAAAAGAAAAGGAACGGAGGUUGGAGAGAAAAAAUUUCAGAAAACCCAAGAAAGAAGAACUCAACACAGCAGAGCAGGCGGCCGGCAGCUAACCCAAGGUCACGGCGCUCCGAGCCGAGGAGAACGGGAGUCUGGGAGUCUGUGCCCUCUGCGCCCACCCCCUGCUCCUUAUACGCCUGCCUCGCCUGGUUCCACGCUUGGUAGAGCAGAGGCCACAGCGGGCUUGCCAGCGCUGCGUCCAGUCCCGGCACGUGGGAAGCUCAUCCCGGCUCUCACCCCGACAGCCGACAGCCGGGGGGACAAAAGUCCCCGUCGCGCCAGGAACCAUCGGGGCCUCAGCAGGGGCAGGACUCAGGCAAAGGCUGAAACUUCAAACUAGGGGGCAAGUCUCAAACGAAGGCUUUGGGACUAAGAAAGCCCCUUUCUGCCUCGCGGAUAGUUUUUUCCUCUCACGAUUUUGCGUUUACCACCCCAAACCACCCGGAAGGGUGAAUGGUGGCAGGUAAGGAAUUACAGAUUGUCCUGAUUCCCAGCUUCCCAAAGAGCAUUCUGUCCACCACUCGCUCCCUCGCGCGUUCCAAACUCUGGGAGCGUUCCCUGCGUGCUGGGCCCCGUUUCUGGGGACACACUGGUUCUCUGUCUAAAUAGAUUUAGGGACAAAAGAUCCGAGGCGCCCAGAAAAGACGCCAACGCAUCGGGCGCCUGGGCGGCUCAGUCUCGGCCGAGGGUCCCACUCUCGGUUCCGGUGCAGGUCAUGAUCUCCCGGUUCGUGGGUUCAAAUCCCGGGUAGGGCUCUGUGCUGACAGCCUGCUCGGGAUCCUCUCUCUGCCGCCCCCCUGCUGCUCUCUCUUUAUUUUUAAUGUGUAAAAAUGAACAUUAAAAAAUUACAAAAUAUUUCGUGAUAAAAAUAGCUUAGCCGUACUCUCCUGUCUACUUCCGUCUUCUGUUUGCAGCUCCCCGUACUAAACAGCUACAGGCGCGCACACGCCCCAGCGCUGGGCUGGCGCCCCGAAAGCCGCACCCCCCACCCCCUAACACUCCCGGGAGACGACCGCCACUGGACCCACUUUACAGCCGGGGAGACUGAGGCCCAGAGGUCUCAGAGGCAAGUUCAAGGUAGCUCAGUGGCAGGGGCUCCCGAGUCUCUGCAGACACGCUCCGCCCGCAAGGGCUGGCGGUCGGGUGUGCUCAAGGCAGCCCAAGCCGGCCCGCCCUCGCGGC